rnacentral:rRNA from 1 species
UACGUAGGCAGCGAGCGUUGUUCGGAGUUACUGGGCGUAAAGCGUGCGUAGGCGGUUUUGUAAGUUUGGUGUGAAAUCUCCCGGCUCAACUGGGAGGGUGCGCCGAAAACUGCAAGGCUGGAGUGUGGGAGAGGUAGGCGGAAUUCCUGGUGUAGCGGUGAAGUGCGUAGAUAUCAGGAGGAACACCUGUGGUGUAGACGGCUUACUGGACCAUGACUGACGCUGAGGCACGAAAGCGUGGGGAGCAAACAGG